AGGGGCGUAGCUCAGAUGGCCAGAGCGCCGGUCUCCAAAACCGGAUGUCGCAGGUUCGAGUCCUGCCUCCCCUGCCA
rnacentral:tRNA from 1 species